UACGUAGGCAGCAAGCGUUGUUCGGAAUUACUGGGCGUAAAGAGUGUGUAGGCGGUGUUGUAAGUUUGUCGUGAAAUCUCCCGGCUUAACUGGGAGGGUGCGGCGAAAACUGGAAUGCUAGAGGAUGGGAGAGGUAAGCGGAAUUCCUGGUGUAGCGGUGAAAUGCGUAGAUAUCAGGAGGAACACCUGUGGUGUAGACAGCUUACUGGACCAUUUCUGACGCUGAGACACGAAAGCGUGGGUAGCAAACAGG
rnacentral:rRNA from 1 species